GCCAUUUGGUAAGCAGAACUGCGAUGCGGGAUGAACCGGAAGCCGGGUUACGGUGCGGACUGCGCGCUAAUCCUAAGAUCCACAAAAGGGUGUUGGUCGAUUAAGACAGCAGACGGUGGUCAUGGAAGUCGAAAUCGCUAAGGAGUGUGUAACAACUCACCUGCCGAUCAACUAGCCCCGAAAAUGGAUGGCGCUUAAGCGCGCGACCUACACCCGGCCGUCGGGGCAAGUGGCCAGGCCCCGAUGAUGUGGAGGGCGCGGCGGUCGCCGCAAGCCUGUGGCGCGAGCCAGGGCGGAGCGGCCGUCGGUGCAGAUCUUGGUGGUAGUAGCAAUAUUCAAGUGAGAACUUUGAAGGGCCGAAGAGGGGAAAGGUUCCAUGUGAACGCACUUGCACAUGGUUAGUCGAUCCUAAGAGAACGGGGGAAGCCCGUCCCCGACGGCGGCCAGCGCGAGCUUCGAAGGGAAUCGGGUUAACAUUCCUGAAACCGGGACGUGGCGGCUGACGGCACGUUAGGGAGUCGGAGAGUCCGGCGGGGGCCUCGGGAAGAGUUAUCUUUUCUGUUUAACAGCCUGCCCACCCUGGAAACGGCUCAGCCGAGGUAGGGUCCAGCGAGCCGGAGACGCACCUGCACGUCGCGUGGUGUCCGGUGCGCCCCCGGCGGCCUUGAAAAUCCGGAGGACCAGAGUGCCGACCACGCCCGGUCGUACUCAUAACCUGCAUAGGUCUCCAGGUGAACAGCCUCUGGUCGAUGGAACAAUGUAGGCAAGGGAAGUCGGGCAAAAAUGGAUCCGUAACUUCGGGAAAGGAUUGGCUCUGAGGUCUGGGCACGGGGGUCCCAGUCCGACCCGUCGGCUGUCGGUGGACUGCUCGAGCUGCCUCCGCGGCGAGAGCGGGUCGCCGCGUUUGCCGGCCGGGGACGGACUGGGAACGGCUCCCUCAGGGGCCGUUCCCGGGCGUCGAACAGCCGACUCAGAACUGGUACGGACAGGGGAAAUCCGACUGUUUAAUUAAAAACAAAGCAUUGCGAUGGUCCCUGAGGAAAUGAUAACGCAAUUGUGAUUUUUGCCCAGUGCUCUGAAUGUCAAAGUGAAGAAUUCAACCAAGCGCGGUAAACGGCGGAGUAACUAUGACUCUCUUAAGGUAGCCAAAUGCCUCGUCAUCUAAUAGUGACGCAGCAUGAAUGGAUUAACGAGAUUCCCACUGUCCCUGUCUACUAUCCACGAAACCACAGCAAGGGGCAGGGUGGAAACGGGCUUGGCAGAAUCAGCGGGGAAAGAAAGACCCUGUUGAGCUUGACUCUAGUCCGACUUUGUGAAAUGACUUGAGAGGUGUAGGAAAGUGGGAGCCCUCGGGCAAAAGUGAAAUACCACUAAGCUUUUAACGUUAGUUUACUACUCCGUGAGUCGGAGGCGGGGCAUUGCCCCUCUUUUGGACCCAAGCCCGCCCGCGGGCCCGAUCCGAGGCGAGGACAUUGUCAGGUGGGGGAGUUUGGACUGGGGCGGCCACAUCUGUUAAAAGAUUAACGCAGGUGUCCUAAGAUGAGCUCGACGAAACAGAAAUCUCGUGUGGAACAGAAGGGUAAAAGCUCGUUUGAUUCUGAUUUUCAGUAACGAAUACGAACCGUGAAAGCGUGGCGCUAACGAUGCCUUUAGACCUUCGGAAUUUGAAAGCUAGAGGUGUCAGAAAAAGUUACCACAGGGAUAACUGGCUUGUGGCAGCCAAGCGUUCCAUAGCGACGUUGCUUUUUUGAAUCCUUAGAUGUCAGGCUCUUCCUAUCAAUUGUGGAAGCAGAAUUCACCAAGUGUUUGGAUUGUUCACCCCACCAAUAGGGAACGUGAGCUGGGUUUAGAACGUCCGUGAAGACAGGUUAGUUUUACCUACUAGAUGCAGUGUCGCCGAUGGUAUAUUCAUCCUAGUACGAAGAGGAACCGUUGAUUCGCACAAUUGGUCCUUCGCGCUUGGUGAAAAGCCAGUUGGCGCGAAGCUCUGUGGCGCUGGAUUAUGACUGACGCCUCUAAGUCAGAAUGGGCAGAAGCGCGACGCGUGCGCUACAUCGCCGCUCUGUUUGCCGACCCGCAGUAGGGGCCCAGGCCCCAAGGGCACGUGCUCGU
rnacentral:rRNA from 1 species